ensembl:lncRNA
AUCGCGGAGUGAUUUAUUAUUAGCUGUGAAAAGUCCGAGUUGGGAUGUCCUGGGAUAUUCCAACUCAUGGAACGUCUCUCGUCCAAUCAGAAACAGCUAAAUAAUUUGAUAGAACCCAAUUGUUUUAUAAUGGACACUAAUGAGACUUACACCACCUAAUUACAUCUCUGCUGUGAUUCGGCCAGACUUACACCACCUAAUUACAUCUCUGCUGUGAUUGGACGAGACUUACACCACCUAAUUACAUCUGUGCUGUGAUUGGACGACUGAGACUUACACCACCUAAUUACAUCUCUGGGCUGGUCUGUAGAAUGUUGAGGUGGUCUGUAGAAUGUUGAGGUGGUCUGUAGUAGACUGAUGUGGUCUGUAGAAUGUUGAGGUGGUCUGUAGAAUGUUGAGGUGGUCUGUAGUAGGCUGAGGUGGUCUGUAGAAUGUUGUGGUGGUCUGUAGAAUGUUGAGGUGGUCUGUAGAAUGUUGUGGUGGUCUGUAGUAGGCUGAGGUGGUCUGUAGAAUGUUGAGGUGGUCUGUAGAAUGUUGAGGUGGUCUGUAGUAAGCUGAGGUGGUCUGUAGAAUGUUGAGGUGGUCUGUAGAAUGUUGAGGUGGUCUGUAGUAAGCUGAGGUGGUCUGUAGAAUGUUGAGGUGGUCUGUAGAAUGUUGAGGUGGUCUGUAGAAUGUUGUGGUGGUCUGUAGUGGGCUGAGGUGGUCUGUAGAAUGUUGAGGUGGUCUGUAGAAUGUUGAGGUGGUCUGUAGUGGUCUGUGGUGGUCUGUGGGGCUGAAUAGAGUGGCAUGUUGCACAGGUUACAGUUUUUCUCGAUUGCUUUGGCACAUUUUUCCAUUCACUGUUUAC